UAAGUGUAUUUAUGUAUAUAAAGGAAUUUAUGUGAUCUAAAUACGUAAUAAAUUGCAUAUUUUUAUUAAUUACCAAUUUGUUUGAAUUCAUGGGUCCCGAAGGAUUUUCCGGGUUUUAUACUUAAGCGUCCUCUAGUAACGGCUAUUAGCCUUAUCCUUAUCAGAAUAACAUUUCGGCUCCAAAAUGUGGUUUACAAAUUUUACCCACCACCACCCCUUCAAUCCUCCAUAAUUAUUGUUAUUGUAGAAAAUACAUGUACUAGUUUCUUUUAUAUAAGGUGCCUAUUGUUAUUGCAUGACUUUUGUACUUAUUGUUAAUUUUGUAGAAAAUAUAUGUACUAGUUUUCUUUUGUGUAAGGUGUGGGAUGUUUUUGGGCCCCACCUUCUGCUGCAUUCUGAUAUUGUAAAAUCUGUAAUCUCAUUUGGCAUUUGUAAUAAAUGCUCUAUACACACACA